CAGUCGCCGCGGGAAUACGUAGGUGGUAAGCGUUGUCCGGAAUUAUUGGGCGUAAAGGGCUCGCAGGCGGUUUCUUAAGUCUAAUGUGAAAGCCCCCGGCUCAACCGGGGAGGGUCAUUGGAAACUGGGAAACUUGAGUGCAGAAGAGGAGAGUGGAAUUCCACGUGUAGCGGUGAAAUGCGUAGAGAUGUGGAGGAACACCAGUGGCGAAGGCGACUCUCUGGUCUGUAACUGACGCUGAGGAGCGAAAGCGUGGGGAGCGAACAGGAUUAGAUACCCCAGUAGUCCCUGUCUCUUAUAC
rnacentral:rRNA from 1 species